rfam:Pseudomonas sp. G5(2012) strain G5 PG5_7, whole genome shotgun sequence.
CGUUAUGGCGGCUGUGCGUAGGACGUCUUCGGACGUGCCGGUUUCCUUGAUUUCCCGGUUUACCAACCUGCGCACAGCUGCCACCCAU